rnacentral:rRNA from 1 species
AUGGAGUCCAGCCCGUCCUCGGCGGAAUUCGACCACCGCCCCCGUUCCUACCACCUCGCCCUCUGCUCGCCUCCGGCCUCCCCCCACCCCGCUCCCCAGCCCUCGCCGCCCGCUGCACGUCUCGGACCCCGCUCCGAGGUGCACCGGGUCGAGCACGAGACUGGUGAUGCCGCUGCUGAUGGUGGUGGCUGGGAGGUCGCGCACAGCCGCCGCCGUCCUCGCCCUCCUAGUCUGCGUCGCCGCCGGUGCGACGACCAUGGCGGGCGCGCUCGCAACCCCCUCCUCCCCGCGCCUUGGGGAGUGCCCGCGCUGCCUUGGCACCGGGCACCCGCGCUCCGAGUGCCGGAAGGACGUGCGCUGCCGCCGUUGCCGUUUUUUCGGCCACAUCGCGAGGUUCUGCACGACCCCCCGCUCGUCCUCUCCGGAGGGCGCGCCGGCGGCCAAGCGCAUGCGCCCGUCGUCCCCCCGCUCCAUCGGUUCUUCGGCUUCGAGUGUCGCGGGCCCAUCCCCACCCGUGUUCUCCGGGCCUGGGCUGGGUUCGUCCUCGGCCUCCACCGCCGCCACCACCACCUUCUCCGCCGCGGUCACUCCCUCGCCGCCUCCCUCGACCACUCCUUCCCUCCCCGCGGCCUUGCUUGUCCCAGCUCGCCGUCCGCGCCCGCCUCCCUGUCGGGCCACCCCGCCUUGCGGCCGGCUGGCGCCGUCUGCUACCUCCCCCGCUCCGCUCGGUUGGAGGAGGCAGAGCGCGCUCUGGACCUUGCCCUGACCGCCAUCGUCGCCGGGAACCGCUCUGGGAUCUCUGCCGCCGACGUGGCGUGCGUGCUGCGGGAGCGCUUCCAGCUCACGCCGACGGACUUCUCCAUCCGCCGUCGCCGUGACGACGAGUUCCUACUCCGCUUUCGCGAUGCUGCUACCCGUGCUCUCGUGGCCGCGAGACCCAUCCGCGCCGCCAAGUUUCGGUUGCUCAUUCACCCCUGGAGUCGCCUCGCCGGGGCCGAGACGGUCUCCCUCCGCAAAUCCGUCGACAUCGAGAUCACCGGCAUUCCGGAGCAUGGCUGGGAUAUUUCCUAUACCGUGCAGCUCCUCGCCCCGUUCUGCCUCGUCGACCGGCUUGCCCCCGAGACGCUGGACGGCAGCGACAUGUCGGUCUUCCGGCUGACGGCCCGGACCACCAACCCCGACGCCAUUCCAUGCUCCUCCGAGCUCCUUCUGGCUGAGCCUGACGACCUUGCCGGUGCAAACCCGGACCUCGUCGAUCGGUUCGCUGUGCAGAUGCUGCGUUUUCCAUCAAUUCACGUUCGACACGCCGCCAACUACCGCUUCCCCGCCCCUCCACCCCCGCCUCCGCCCGCCAGCCUGGACGGCGAUGGCGGCCCCGCGCCCUCCCCCUCCUCCGGAGGCGUGGCCUCGCCGGCACGACUUCCCGCCGCCUGCUACUGA